UACGUAGGUGGCAAGCGUUGUCCGGAUUUACUGGGCGUAAAGGAUGCGUAGGCGGACAUUUAAGGUCAGAUGUGAAAUACCCGAGCUUAACUUGGGUGCUGCAUUUGAAACUGGGUGUCUGGAGUGCAGGAGAGGUAAGUGGAAUUCCUAGUGUAGCGGUGAAAUGCGUAGAGAUUAGGAAGAACACCAGUGGCGAAGGCGACUUACUGGACUGUAACUGACGCUGAGGCAUGAAAGCGUGGGGAGCAAACAGG
rnacentral:rRNA from 1 species